rnacentral:lncRNA from 1 species
GUCCAUUUUUUUUUUCCUGGAUAAGCUCUAUGGCUCCACACAGCCAGCAGGCUUGAGGCCCAGAGCUCCCUGGAGGCCACAUGUGGUUUAAUCUGGACAAAUGCUUUGAAACAAAUUCCUGGCUUUCCUUCAGGAUUAUUGAGCUGACAGGCAGCUGCCACCCACAUAGAAGGAUGAUUUCCGGUACUGGCUAACAUGGGAGCCCUGAGGGUACAGAUGGUAUAAUCCAUGAACCUGCACAACAUACCCCGUCUUUUCUGACCUCACCAAAACAUCUCAGAACAGAGCAAAUUCUACUCUGCUUUCCGUGUACCAGCCCUGAUAAAGACUUCGAACAAGAAACAAAGGAAAAGGGCCACAGAGGACAUUCUCUGUCUUGUCUUGGGAAGCAGGAAGAACUUCUCCUUGCAGAUGAUCUCUUAAAAUCUACAACAGGAACUAGAGAGGUGACUCCAAGGUUAAGAUCACUUGUGUCUCUUGCAGAGGACCGGAGUUUGGUUUCCAGCAUCCACAUAGUGGCACAACUUCAACUCCAGGGAUAUGAC